rnacentral:rRNA from 1 species
UUGGCGUCCGAGUUGUAAUUUGCAGAGGGCGCUUUGGCAUUGGCAGCGGUCCAAGUUCCUUGGAACAGGACGUCACAGAGGGUGAGAAUCCCGUACGUGGUCGCUAGCCUUUACCGUGUAAAGCCCCUUCGACGAGUCGAGUUGUUUGGGAAUGCAGCUCUAAAUGGGAGGUAAAUUUCUUCUAAAGCUAAAUACUGGCCAGAGACCGAUAGCGCACAAGUAGAGUGAUCGAAAGAUGAAAAGCACUUUGGAAAGAGAGUUAAAAAGCACGUGAAAUUGUUGAAAGGGAAGCGCUUGCAGCCAGACUUGCCUGUAGUUGCUCAUCCGGGUUUUUACCCGGUGCACUCUUCUAUAGGCAGGCCAGCAUCAGUUUGGGCGGUUGGAUAAAGGUCUCUGUCAUGUACCUCUCUUCGGGGAGAACUUAUAGGGGAGACGACAUGCAACCAGCCUGGACUGAGGUCCGCGCAUCUGCUAGGAUGCUGGCGUAAUGGCUGUAAGCGGCCCGUCUUGAAACACGGACCAAGGAGUCUAACAUCUAUGCGAGUGUUUGGGUGUCAAGCCCGAGCGCGUAAUGAAAGUGAACGGAGGUGGGAACCUUUCGGGGUGCACCAUCGACCGAUCCUGAUGUCUUCGGAUGGAUUUGAGUAAGAGCAUAGCUGUUGGGACCCGAAAGAUGGUGAACUAUGCUUGAAUAGGGUGAAGCCAGAGGAAACUCUGGUGGAGGCUCGCAGCGGUUCUGACGUGCAAAUCGAUCGUCAAAUUUGGGCAUAGGGGCGAAAGACUAAUCGAACU